UACGUAGGGUGCAAGCGUUGUCCGGAAUUAUUGGGCGUAAAGAGCUCGUAGGCGGUCUGUCGCGUCUGCUGUGAAAACUCAGGGCUUAACCCUGAGCUUGCAGUGGGUACGGGCAGACUAGAGUGCGGUAGGGGAGACUGGAAUUCCUGGUGUAGCGGUGAAAUGCGCAGAUAUCAGGAGGAACACCGGUGGCGAAGGCGGGUCUCUGGGCCGAUACUGACGCUGGAGGAGCGAAAGCGUGGGGAGCAA
rnacentral:rRNA from 1 species